GAAGUUUUAACCCCUAAAAUAACUAGAAAUGGGAAUAACGUGUAUAAUGGGAAUAACAUAGAGCAGGAAGCACUCGGUAUUCCAGGUUAUGGGAUAAGAUAAUGAAGGGUGAGGGGAAGGAGCCGUGGAAGUAACUCCUGGUUGGUUUUCCCUCCAUUCCAGGCGAGCAGCACACAAAAAUAGGGGAGCUCACCGCGGACAUCAGGGAAUGCAGCAGGAAGCUCCGUAAGUGCCUCCUGUGGACCCACGCCCGGAGUCGCGGCCCCGCGGAGGCGGCGGCAGCAGCUCCCGGCCCUGCUGCGGCGUCUCCUGUCUCUUUGCAGGGCAGCGCGCGGCGCAGCUCGGUACGCAAUUCCCAGCUUUCCCCCCCGCGGGGCUCCCCUCGGCCCUCCCGCUGCCGUGCCCGAGGGGCGAUUCCUGCGCUAGUCGGCUCUAGGAGGGGGGGUGCGAAGGCUGGGGUAAAGGGUGAUGUACAGAGGGGCCUGGGGGUGGAUCCUGCGGGACACGGUGGGAUAAGUGGUUAUAUAGGAGGAUAUAUGACAGGAUAGAUGAUUAUAUGGUAGGAUAUACAAUUAUAUGGUAGGGUGUCUGAUUGAUUGUAUGGUAGGGAAUAUGAUUGAUCAUAUAGUAGGGUAUAUGUUUGAUUAUAUGGUAGGGUAUAUGAUUAUAUGGUAGGAUAUAUGAUUGAUUAUAUAGUAGGUUAUAUGAUAGAAUAUAUAAUUAUAUGAUGGGAUACAUGAUUAUGUGAUAGAAGAUAUCUUUAUAUGAUAGGCUGUACAAUUAUAUGAUAGGAUAUAUGAGUGUAUGAUAGGAUAUAUAGUAGGAUACAUGCUUAUAUGAUAGGAUAUAUGCUUAUGUGAUAAGGUAUAUGAUAAGAUAUGUGAUUAUAUGGUAGGAUAUGCGGUUAUAUUAUAGGACAU
rnacentral:lncRNA from 1 species